AUUAAUAGUUACGACCAAGUUUAUAAAAGGUAAACACUAGUUAGAGUUCUCUUGUUGCAAUUAAUUGGUAACUUUAUUGAGUGGUGGACUUUCGUAAUAGCCGUUGGAUUAAAGAUAAUAAAGAGAAAUCUGAGGGCUGAGGUUUGGUGUGGUCAAGAGAGGUAGUGAUGUGGGCAGAGUUAGAAGUGUUGAGGUCAUGGCUAGAGAGUGUGUGGUCGUGGCCAGAGAUCGUGUGGUCAUGGUUAGAAACCGUGUGGUUAAAGUUACGUAGAACAUUCCUAAGGAGAUAGAGGAUGUUGGGUCUGAAGUAGAUCUUCUAUUGUUUCCUUGGAUACCUGUUAGUGAUGAAGAGCCGUUCAAGUAGAUGUGAGAUUUAAGAACAGUUAGAUUUAGAAUUUGAGACAUCAAAAGUAGAGAAAAAUACAAAAAUUGGAGAAGAUGUGUAAGGCAACAAAUGCUUUUUGGUUUGGAGUAGAUGUUCAAUCUUCUCCUGGGAUAUCUGUCAGUAGCAAAGAGUCGUUCGGGUAGAUUGGAAUCUCGGCAGGAAGUGUCGCUGUUAUCUACGGCCACAUGAAGGUAGAGUGGAAAUUAGAUGAGAUUUAGGGUUUACAACAUAGUAAUAGAUCUGAAAUUGUGACAAUUAAAGAAAGUUAAAACCUGUCAUUUUUGGGGAAGAAGCCAGAUAUUGAUUCGGUUUGGCAACCGCAAAUCUUCGCCGGACUAUGACACAAUCAAGUAGACGCGACUGGUUUCGUUUCGUGAUUGAUGUCGAAGAGAAACAGUAUAAUUGAUGGUGGAUUUGAUUGAGGAAGAAGGAGAACAUAGACUACUCAAUUGGAAAUGGAGAAUUCAAUCGGUUUGAUGAGUUCAAGAAAUUAGAGUUUUGGAGAAAAUUAGCUUUGGCAAAAUAAUGAAAAAGAAAGUGCUUAAUUAUGAAAAAAGGAGAAAAGUAAAUAGAUAAUGACCGGUCCUAGUUUGCUCGAUUUAGAAUACAAAGGGUAUUGGUGACUUUUCAUUGCUUAGAAGUACUUCACAUGCUGUAAGUAUGUCAAAGUGUAAUGGGGAGGCUUAGAAGUAUGUCUAAGGGUAAUAUUUUCCUUUUUUAAACUCAUUUCCAUUCCGAAAAUGUUAUUAUCCUCUAGCUGGUGCAGUAUGUCAGCCUACCAUAUAGGUGUGUUAAGUUCUCUUUUUUUUUUUUUUUUUUUGAACAUCAGGUGUGUUAAGUUCUCAUCUAGUGGAUAAGUGUGUAAAGUUGUGCAAGGAUUGUGUUAAACAAAUAAUUUUACUUUCUCUCUCUCUCUCUCUCUCUCUCUCUCUCUCUCUCUCUCAUCCUUGUCAUUUUUCUCUAAAUUUUCUUUACUCUCCUCUCACUUACACGAACUAUAUUCUAUGUUUUAUAAUUUCAAUUUCUAAUUAAUAUGCCAAUUUAUAAAAAUUUACAUUCAGUUCACUUUACAAUUUCACCAUAUUUUCACAAACCCACUUUUAAUUUACCUAUCUCCAACGUUAUUACUAAUCUUUGUAGUAAACACACAAUCUUUGUGUUUAAACCAAAUUUCUCAAAAUUAUGUUCUAAAAAGUCUUGUAAUAUUUCUUUUUUAGCAACGUUCGAAAAGCCAUGUGAAAAAGGAAAUGCAGAAGAUUCUUAGUGUUAAUCAUCCACAUGUUGAGUUAACACCUUUCAAACAAACUUAUUUAGAUGACAAAUUUGUUGAAGUAAGCAAGAUGUUAUAAAAUACAUGUUGUUAAUUGUUUUGGUAAAUGGUUUUGACUUAUACAUUGUUUCAUAAAUUAUUUGUUACUUGAUAAAUUAGUUGAUACAUGGUUUACGAGUUGAUAUAAUUUUUGAUAAGUUAUUUAUUAUCUGAUAAAUGAUUUGUUAUUUUGGCUUAUACAUAGUUUGAUACAAAAUUAUUGAUAAAUGGCUGGUAUGCUACAUAGACUUGUCGUUAACUGAUACAUAGUUUGUAUAGCUGAUAAAUAAUUUAUCAAUUUUUAUAUAAUUUGAUACCUGGUUUGGUAGCUGAAAAAUGAGUUCAUACAUGGUUUAUGAGUUAAUGCGUUGUUUGAUAAAUUGUUUGUUAUCUGAUAAAAAUUUUGUUACAUGAUACAUGUUUUGUUAGUUGAUAUAUGUUUAUACGACAUCUUUUGAUAUUUUAUCCUAUAUAUGCAUGUUAGAUGAUAUAUAACACUAUGUCUUAGUGCUUACAAAUUACAUUAGCUGAAACCUUUACAUAUUGUUCGUCGUUGUUAGACAAACUGGAAGAUCCCCCAAAUAUAUUAUUUUUCAUAUGCUUAUAGUUCUUCUAGUUUGAGACUAAUAGAGAGAGAUUCGUAGGAUGCAUUUAUUUCUUGGUGAGGCUAUAAACCUUAUAUGGGAAUGAGUUAACCAUAUUGUUAAUAUCGUGGUGGAGAGAUAGUUUGAUUAGUCGUCGUAGAGAGAGAUAGUUUGUCCUAGUAAUUUUGUUUCAUAUUGUUAUAGCCAUAUUUUUAAUUAUUUUUCUCUUUUAUUUUUUUUUCCAUAAACUACAAUUUAUUUUUAUUUUUUAAUAAAUGCUAUAAAUAUAGAUAUAACUCAUGUGGUUAAAAGUGCUUCAGCUGUAAAGUUAUGACCUCGAAUGCCACUAUACUCAGCUGAUACACUUUUCUAUUCGAUGCAGCGUUAGAAGGGCAAAAUCGUCUACUUAUGGUUUAAAUGUCAUACACCAUACCAUUAAUAUCAAUCAAUGUGUAGUUAGAAAAUAUAGACUUCCAUUGGGUGUAGUUAGCUAAAUAUCUCAACUUAAAAUAUCUUAUGCAAGUUUUACAGAUAACACUUUCUUCUCCUUAAAGCACAUCAUAUAUUUGUUACCAACUUUGCUUACGCUUUAUCUUCGUCAAUUUCAAUUUCACAUUUUUAUAAAAGAAAUGUCGUUAUAAGAGUUAUUCUGUCUGUUUCAUAAAUACUGUUAUUUUGAUAUUUUUUUGUCUCAUAAAAAAUUAUUUUACAAUUUCAAUAUAAUUUAUAUUUAUAUUAAGUUUAAUAUAAUUGCAAAACACGUCGAUCUUAUAAAUAAUUUUGUUAUUUUAGAUACUAUUCCCUGUGUUCCAAAAUGUAUUAUGCCUUAGGCUAAUGCGCAACCAUUAAAAAUUAUUUUUCACAUAAAAUAUAUCACUAAAAUAUAAAUUAAAAAUAAUUUAUCUAAUAAAAAAAUAGACAACAAAAUAUCAUUGAUUACAUAAUUUUAUUAAAUUUAAAAGUUAUCAAAAAUAUGAAAACAUUUUA